ensembl:lncRNA
CGACUGACGCAAAUCAUUUGCAGAUACAUUUAGUUGGAUCAAUCAGAAAACCUCUUUUCUUGUAGUAUAUUUUCAGUAUGAGACCAUUUGAAGACAACUGAUUAUACAUGCAAAGUAAAAAUAAAUAAAUAACCUCAGUGUAUUGUAAAGUCUUAAAUAAGGCAUCUUCACACACCACCAUAAUAUGACAAGAGAAAUUGAUGGUGAGGAUUAUUUGUUAUCUUGGGAGCCUUUUUGUGUGAUCGUUCAUUCGUGGCACAUCAAACAUUUAGAUAACACUGAGCUAAUAAACUGGAGAAUAGCAGGCCACCCUUUCCAACCCCCCACCAGCCGUCUUCUCUAUAAACAGGAUGAAAUCUGAUAGCAUGCGAACCAUAUGACCUGGCGCAGAAAGAAAAAGACAGAGAGAGACAGAAGGGUGAAAGACUGACUGCUCUGGACUGGGUCAUGCUCAAAACUGCAGCUCACAGGCUGUGCUUCAGGUUGAUCUAAGUGCUAGAUUAAUAAAUAAGAAGUUGUUGUUCUUUUAGUCGAAUGAUUAGUUCAUCGUUCAAAUCUUGUUUUUACCAAUGACCACUUUAUUAGGAACUCCUGCACACCAGCUCAUUCAAGCAAUUAUCCAGCCAGCCAAUCAUGUGGCAGCAGUGCAAUGCAUCAAAUCAUACAGAUACAGGUGAAGAGUUUCAGCAGGUCCUGGCUAUCCCUCUGACAGCCCCGCGACGCCUACUGAAGGUCAGCGUGUCACCUUCCACAAGGCAAGCGUGCAACUCCUUACCCGCAGCGAUUGUUUGCAGGGAUAAUAUAGCGCUUAAUGGAUUUUCUAAGAACAACGCUUUACAAUCAUGAGCGUUUACAAUGGCGGUGAAAAAUCUGAUGUUGCUGCAGAAAUACGAGACAUUUCAUAGGAAUGGUAUUGCCUGUGAACCGUUGAAAAUGUUGGAGAGCUUGCACGUGGCCCAAGGAUAUAGCAUGCAGUAAAUGUAAAAAUGUUAUCUCACUGCUGUAUUCGCUGUAUUUGAGUUAAAAAUUCGCAUUCGCAAUUGCAAAUAUUUUGUAGUCUAAUACUAGACACAAUAUCAGUAAAGGUAAAUCGUCUUAAGAAAAUAUGUAUGAAACAGAUUAGGUACCGCAUGUAUGUUUAUGAAUCUGAGAUUUUCAAGCACACGCACACUAUGCAAGGAAUAAAAAAUAAUGAGUAUUGCUGUUAAAGGAAAAUAAUUGAUGAUAACCUGGUGUGAGUGAAACUGAAGUCUGGAACUGUUUACUCCUCUUGUACCCAAGUAAUUUGUCAGUGGUUACAAUCCGUUUAUAGUUACAUUUAAUGUCGUGUUAUAACUGCUAUGAACAGUCAUCCCUUCAGCCAGCCUGGUUUUAGCUCAACUUGUGAGACCCUCUGUCCUGAAAACGUUCCCAUAGCGGAAACCUUGCUGUCUGUUACAAAGUACUGACACUGGAGACUCCUUCCACAAGCAUUAACUAAACAUCUCCUUACAGAAAGCUUCACUGUAUCAAUGAUCAUGCAUGUUCUUUGAUUUAAAAAAAACAACAAAAAAACAAAAAAGAUUUUGCCAAAUCUGUAUUUUAUUAUUAAAUUUAGAUUUUGUGGAGCAUCUGCUAUAAAUAUCCCGGAAUGAGUUAUUACCAUAGAAACAAUAAUGUAUUAUGAAGACCGCAUUAAUAUAAAGCUGUGCAUCUAAGCAUCUAACCAAUCAGAUUUGAAAAUAUAUCAGUGCUGCGAUAUAAAUACCCACUCAUUCACUUUCACUAACCCCUUUACCCGGGUUUAGCAGUUUUUCUCCCUGUGGGUAAAGUGUAGAAUAUUAGUAAAGUCUCCUCACUGUAAUCUCACCACAGCUAAGAGCAUCGCUGCUUCAUUUCUAACAGCAACCUGGAAAACAUUAAGUCACUUUCCAUUAGCUGUCUGAUAUUUUUUCAGCCUGGCCAGAUGGGAGGUGGCUCAAGGUGCAAUGACACAUCACUCUGAGAACUAGAGGUCUGCCACAGACUUCAGAGGAAAUUCCCACUCACUGAUGUGCUCUGGGUGGUCCGAUCACAGCAAGAAGCAUAGAUCUGAAGCUAAAAACCACAGGACAGUUCAGAGUUACUGUCUUUCUGAACACAAGUCAGCAUGUUAACCUUAAAUCUGAAAUCAACCACUUUUAAGACAAAAUUCUCAUUCUGAUGUCAUUUUCCAUCAAAUUGCAACAGCAUCUGCCUGUCUGUAAAUUUAUUCUCAGUAUUAGAAUAUGGUUAAAUAGUAUCACGUCAUGUCUCACCUGCUUCUACUUCUCCAAACCUCCAGCUAUCAAUAUGGCUCUGGUACAUCCAAUCAAACCUGAAUGGGAUAAACCUGAUAAAGCUGUACAUCAUUUCUCAUCCACAUCUUCAUUUUCAUUCAGAAGUAUUCAAGCUGAUCACUACAGUUUGAACAGGUUUGUUGAAAAAGUCAGCCUUGAACUGAACUGUAUAUUGGAGGGAGAAAAAAAGUUGAUCCGAUCCAGUAACAAAUGGAAAAGAUGGGAAUUUUUUGGAACUGUAAAUCUUUACAUAUAAAGAGACUUGCUUGUAUUUUUUGUUAGGAAUGAUUUUUAAAAUAUUAUUUAUACUUUAUUUACCAUGUAUUGUUCCCUGAAUUAUUAUUAUUAUUAUUAUUAUUAUUAUUAUUAUUAAAUGUUAUCCAAUCAUUUUAAAGCUUAGUAGAUUUUAUAGGAAAAAAAUAUUGGAUUUGUAUCUGUAUCAGCUGAUACUCACGGAUUCAUCAUCAGUAUCAGUAUUUAAAUAUGUUUAUUGAAUGUAUGUACAACCUCAGAAAAUCUGAUUUAUAUAUAAGCAAAAUAACAUUAUGCUAACCUUAAAAUUGUUAGGGUUGUCACGGUACAGGUAGAAAAAAGUAAUGGUUUCCAGUUUAUGUUGAUUUUAAAGGUGCUAGAUUAAAGCCAGCUACUGUAUAGUGCUACAAUAUUAACAAGAUUAUGUGCAAAUUUUCUUUUAAUUAGAUAAAUCUUAAGUAAAAAUUAAGCCUGAUAACUCAAUCAUUAAUAAAAUGCAGAUGAGCUAAUAUGUGUAGUGGCCUGGGAAAACUUUUC